AACGAACGCUGGCGGCGUGCCUAACACAUGCAAGUCGAACGAGAAAGCCCUUCGGGGUGAGUAGAGUGGCGCACGGGUGAGUAACACGUAGGUGACCUACCUUUUAGUGGGGGAUAACUCGGGGAAACUCGAGCUAAUACCGCAUAUCUUGGUAACAAGAAAGGGUGCUUCGGCAUCCGCUGGAAGAUGGGCCUGCGUAACAUUAGCUUGAUGGUGGGGUAAUGGCCUACCAUGGCUACGAUGUUUAGCUGGUCUGAGAGGAUGAUCAGCCACACUGGAACUGAGACACGGUCCAG
rnacentral:rRNA from 1 species